AAAAAAAAAAAAGUCCACACCUCUUAAUUUGAGUUCUUUAUACGGAUGAUCCUUUCAAAAGAAUUUUUUAUAAUUGAUGAUUCAUCCUCAAGAAACGUAUGAAAUCAAACCUUCUAUUUAAAAAGGAAAAAAAAAAAAAAAAGGAAAAAGAGAAAAAAAAAAAAAAGAAGCUCUAUUCAUUUCAAACGAUAUUAUUUAAAAAUGUGGGCCAAAAUGUAUAUUCGGGUCUAUUUGAAAUGAUGGGGUCACGCCUGGUCCAGUUGAAACGACGAACGCCAUUGAAGGGUCCAAACUUAUUGGACUUCCGAAGCUCCCGAAACAAAGCAGGCUCUGCAAUUCGGAAUCGGACUACAAUUUCUCUAUCGCUUUCGUUUUCUACAGCAUUCGCUGUUUCCGUUUCUUCGUUGAAGUGGUUCGCCAUUACUGGUCCACUCAAGGAGAACUGCUUUCCGCACUCAUGUCCUUCACUUAACCUUUGAACUAAAACGACGUCAAAGGAUUGAAAACCGUUGUGCGAGGAUAUCCCAGUAUACACAAAUCGCUGCUGUAGAGAUCACCUGACCUAGGGAAACGGGAACCAUAACUAGCUUAACAUUCUCGAACUUCUCUAUACAAAUAUUUGGAUCAGCCGACUUUGUGGUAGGGAGAAAAGGAGAAAGAUUACAGUGAUAGAAAUCUUCAUUCUAUUAACUAGUUUCCCUGUAAUAUAUGACUACAUAAUUGAAAUAAUAGAGACAACGUUUGAAUAGGACUCAUUUAUACACUCUAGUGUUUAGGUGGAGUGUAGAUGUAAUAAACUAGGCCAACUCACUACUACAAUUAAUCAAUUAAAUCUCGCCGACUCUUUUCUGUUCAGGCACUUGCUGGCACUCUAUUUAUCGAAGAUCUCUAUUUAUCGUUAUUCGUAAUUAGUAAUAAAUGAUCAAGCACUCUUUUUCCUCGUGCAGAUGAGAAUUGAGCUAAUAAUGGACCUGGUCUUUGACCUUUGUAUAUCCAUCACCAACAUUAACACUCGGGGUUAAUUUUUUUUUUUUUCACGUGCCAACAGA